UACGUAGGGGGCAAGCGUUAUCCGGAUUUACUAGGUGUAAAGGGAGCGCAGACGGAACUGCAAGUCUGAUGUGAAAGCCCGGGGCUCAACCGCGGGACUGCAUCGGAUACUGUGGAUCUGGAGUGCCGGAGGGGCAAGCGAAAUUCCUGGUGUAGCGGUGAAAUGCGUAGAUAUCAGGAGGAACACCGGCGGCGAAGGCGGCUUGCUGGACGGCAACUGACGUUGAGGCUCGAAAGCGUGGGGAGCAAACAGGAUUAGAUACCCCGGUAGU
rnacentral:rRNA from 1 species